GCAUAACGCGAAGAACCUUACCAGGCCUUGACAUGCAGAGAACUUUCCAGAGAUGGAUUGGUGCCUUCGGGAACUCUGACACAGGUGCUGCAUGGCUGUCGUCAGCUCGUGUCGUGAGAUGUUGGGUUAAGUCCCGUAACGAGCGCAACCCUUGUCCUUAGUUACCAGCACGUUAUGGUGGGCACUCUAAGGAGACUGCCGGUGACAAACCGGAGGAAGGUGGGGAUGACGUCAAGUUAUCAUGGCCCUUACGGCCUGGGCUACACACGUGCUACAAUGGUCGGUACAGAGGGUUGCCAAGCCGCGAGGUGGAGCUAAUCCCAUAAAACCGAUCGUAGUCCGGAUCGCAGUCUGCAACUCGACUGCGUGAAGUCGGAAUCGCUAGUAAUCGCGAAUCAGAAUGUCGCGGUGAAUACGUUCCCGGGUCUUGUACACACCG
rnacentral:rRNA from 1 species